UGAAAGUGUUCUUAAAAUGAACAACAUGUGCUGGGUCAUCAUCCGGGACUGCUGUAACAUGAAAUAUAUGGCAGAAUGCAGAGCAUCAUCAGCAUGGAAGCAUGUCCUCUGGAAUGAUGGCCGAAGCAUGAAGGGGCAUAAGAAUGUUUAGCAUAUCUGGCAUGUAAAUACCUUGCAAUGCCAGCCACAAAAGUGCCAUGCAAACGCCUGUUCUCACUUUAAGGUAACAUUGUAAAUACGAAGUGGGCAGUAUUAUGUCCUGUAAAUGUAAACAAACUUGUUUGUCUUAGCUUUUGGCUGACCAAGAAGUAGAGCCUACAAGUCCACUCAGUCCUAAAGUUUUACAUUGUUUUUGAGUGCAGUUAUGUAACAAACAAAAAAAUCUACAUUUGUAAGUUGCACUUUCAUGAUAAAGAGAAUGACAACAGUAUUUGUAUGAGGUGACUUGAAAAAUACCAUUUCUUUAUUUAUCAUUUUUACAGUGUAAAAAUUUGUAUUAAAAAUAAUAAUAAUAUAAAGUGAGCAC